rnacentral:lncRNA from 1 species
UCCGCAAUCCACUCUUUCAUCUACCACCAUCGUUCUACCUUGGAAUGAUCUGUACUUUUAGCGUCCUCGAUGGAAGUUCUUGUAGAAAAAAGAAACCGUCGAAAUCUUUCGUUUUUCUUUUUUUUCGACCCAUUUCAAACCCUGUUCAACAAAUUUCUGUCCCUUUUAGCUGCUAACUCUACCCUUUGAGGGCUUCAUCAAUCCAUACCUUUGUUUCUGGCCAGUUCUUCCCUUCCUCUGCCAUCACACGUGCCGCUUGGUUCACUGUUCACCCAACGAAAGAGCAUGUAACAUUUUCGAAUGUCCGACAUCUUUCUUUUAUUUCUUGAAUAAUCAACGCAAUACUUGAUUUAUCCUUUUCUAAUGACCAGAUUUUUUUGAUUACUAUCAAGGAAUCUCCUUCCACUAUCAUAUUUUGAAAACCUAGCUACUCAGCCACCGAAGCUGCCUGAAGACAUUCUUUCACCUUCACCAUGGUGGCAUCUAUUAUAAAGGUGUUGUGGUAAGUCCAUGCAACCAAUAUAUGAUCUUCACAGUCCCAGGACAAUUUCCCGUCACUGAUUUGAAUGUAUUAUUGCAAAAUGCUGCGUCAAAAUUAUAUUUUAUCAUAUAUGCUCUCGGUGGAACCCACAUAUUGUUGAUUUGUCUAGUAGCUGUUGAAGUUUCUGUAUUAAUGAUAUUGCUUUCUUCCUAAUAUGCUUUAAUAAAUGUUAUUACCCCAAAUGUGUUCAACUUUUCUCCUUGAUGAUGGACCUUAUUUCUUAUCUGCCAUAUCACUCAGAAGGAUAUUGCUAGGCAUUUUCUUUGUUCUUCAUUCAUGUUGGUAAAAACCUCUACUAACUACAUUUUCCAUUAUUAUCCUUGGGAGCUGGGAGAAGUAUCAAUCCCCACCUCUUGUACGAUAUCUUUUGAAAUCAUGCAUUCUUAGAAAGCAUGAGCCAUUGAUUCCUCCAUUACUCGGCAUAGUGGGCAGAUAUUCGUUACUGACAGAUUUCUUGCCUAUAAAUUAUUGAAUGUAGACAUGUAAUUGUUUAUUAUUUUCCAGAAUGUGAUUUUAACCUUGCUUGCUAGUUGUAAGUUCUAGAGUUUGUUGUAGAGAGUCUGUAGGUCCAUUGGGGGAGGGUUAUAUCCCUUUGCAGUAUCACUUUAUCUUAUUUAUUUAGCCAUUUGUACCCACUUUUAACUGAGUACACACCUGUGUUAUCACCUCUCCAUACUCUGGCAUCCUUGAUAUCGAUUCCAACAACUGGAGUGGUCAUGAUUCUGUGUACUUGGUCUUCGUCAAAAAGUUUUCCUUGGACCUCUAUUUUCCAGGUAGACUGUUCAUUGUUAAUUAAAUCAGCAACUGUUGUAUAGUUUAUAUCAAUGGUCUGACCUGUGAUUCUACCUGGGCCAGGUCUUAGAAUCCACGCCUCAUUUCAAACGUUGAUGGAUUUUUCAUUACCAACCCUUAAACCUAGGCCCUCCUCUAGGAGUCCUAUUACGCUCCAUAUGCUCCACCAGGUAUAAGAUGGGUGAAAACCUAAAAUUGCUUUUAAAAAUUAACUAUUUAGGUAGUAUUUACCUUUCAUUACUCUAGCAAAAAAGCAAUCUAGUUGCAUCAUUAACUUCCAUUCUUAUUUUCAAGCAAUGCGAUAUUAAACUUGGCCAAAUCUCUAAAACUUAGACCUCCCAUUGCUUUCGGUUUGCACAUAUGUUGCGUGUAAAUAACUAAUGCAAUUGUGCAAGUGUACAUGCCAUUUAAGUAAUAAAGUGAUAAGUAAGUAUAGUCUUCACGGGGAUCGAAAAUUGGUAAGAAAUUGAGUAAGUUAUCAUAAUCCUAUUGAUUAUACUAAAUAGUAGGAAAUACUCUCAAGUUGAAUAAGAUGUUUGUAUAAUGAAUUAAUGAAAUCAAAUGUUAAAAACAAAGAAUUGAUAUGGCAAAUAAAUGUUGUGGCAAAUUACAGAGAAAAACAAAAGUAAUUAUGUUGUUGAAUGAAUAGAGCUAGAAUUAUUCAGGUGAAAUGUUCAUAUCAAAAUAAUGCCAUGGAAAAAUAUUGUCUAAUCAACUGCUCAGAGAGUCACUACUGUAACCUGCCUCUUUCGAUAGCUAGAUCUUAAGCUAUAAAUCUAAGUUACCGUAUGUCUAUAGGACUCUGGAUUAAUAACUACAAUGAACGUUCUUCUCUGUACAACUCACAACAUCUAUGUCUAGAGUGCUACGAAUAUUCUGUUGAGUAUUUUCUUGUAUCAAACGAUUCAAGAUCCAGUAUAUUUGACCUUUUCAGAAUUAAAAAUAGAUCUAAGAACACAACACACAAUCAACUAUGUCUAAAGCUUGCAUGCAUGUAUUUAAAAUAAGUAUAAAUUGAAUGAAACAGUGACAUAAACAAUCUCAAAUCAUGAGCAUUAAAGAUGAUAAAACAUUCACUCGAAUAACUCCAACCCAGAAAAGAUUUGGUUCAUGGGUGGAAAAGUUAACAUCAAAAUAAAAUCAGUCAUUAACAUUCUCAAAUAAGUUCGAAUAACAGAAAUCAGGAAAAUAAAGGCAGAAAUGCAGGAAUUCUCGCCAUACUCCAGCUUUUCUUUUAUCUUCAGAUUGUACGUGAACCCAGGAUAGCUAUCUCCCCCUUCUUCACGCAUGUAUUCUACUCUCUUAAGCUGCUACCCUUUCUUUCUAUCUGGAAUUUUCCACUAGAUUUUUCUAGAGAGAAAACUAAUCCCUAAAUCGUCUCUAAUUCCUCUCUCUAAAAAAUCCUCUCAUCUUUCUUUUCUCUUUCCUUUUUUAUAGGCUAGGUCCCCCUCUCUCAGCACACACUUUUCUCUCUUUUUUUCAUGUGGAUUUAUCUGGUACACGGAUAGUUGACUGAGAGGGACGAGGAUUGAGUGCUGCGUCAGCAUUAUCCUGGAAUUGCCAUGGCAUUUAUGUUAGCAAUCCAUCUAACCUUUUGCCAUGACAAUAUUUCACUUUCUUCAUUCUCUCUCUCAUUUUUCUCUUUUUCUUCAUCUUUUUUGCACCUGCUGCAUACAAUAACCAAAUCUCUUUCUCCCAACAGGAAAAAUAACAUAAAAUUACAUUCAAGACAAUCUAAGUGUUAUUAUGCAAUGUUCUAAAAUUAACCUAAAAAUUUAAAUAUAUCCACUUAAGUACAUACAUUAAAUCAAGUUUAGAGGCUAGAAAUAUAAAUUUUCUUAAGAGUUAUCACACCCCAAACCUGAAUUCUUGCUUGUCCUCAAGUAGAAAAUGUGUAAGCAUGCAUGAAUGCAUGAAUUUACCAUAACACUAUAAUUACCUCAUAUGCUGCUAAACUAUCUGAAGUAUAUUUUAUACCUCCAUUCUAGUAGUCUUCUAUCUCAAAAAAUUGGUUCAAAUUUUAUAGGUUUGUUUAGCAUACAAAGUGUAGAAAAUGUUACCUAAAAAUAAAAUUUCCUAAAUAUUCAUGCAAUUUUGACUAUAGCAAGCACCCUCUAAUGUACUUAGUUUAUCUUUCUCCUAAAACUCAGUGUCUCUUCUCAUAAUUAUUCUGUCAUUGCAUACUUUAAUUAUAUAUAUUUUUCCUAAAGAAUUCAUUUUGUCACAUGAUUUCUUUACUUGACAAUCUCAAUAGAGCAUACACUAGAUUGUCAAAUAUUACAUCACGCCACAAUUUGAAUGUAAUUCACUCAUGAAGCUAAGGCUUUUGACUAAAAAGAUAGAUGGAGCAAACAACUACCCCCUUAGCUACUCAGCCUACUACUACAGUGGAGUGCCCCUAAACUGUUUUCUCUUUUUUUUUCUUUUCUUAUUUUUUUACUCACUCUUAUUUGAUCUUGCUUUUCUAAUCAAUAAUAUAAUGGAGCAAAUAGAGUAUUAGUGACCUACUUAAAAAUUUCAAACACUGGAGUGCUUCAUAGCGUCUUUUUAAUUUUCUUAUUGAUUUACCCUCAGUUUUGCCGUGGUAUUUCUUAUUACACAUUGCUAAUUUAUUGUUCUUAGGCUCAAGAAUUUCUAUAUGUAUUAAAAUAGACUAAUUGCAAUUAUAAUUAUAUAAUUAAGGCAUUCUAAUUUUAGGGAUCAAUUUUCAAACAACUAUCCUAAGUUAAACAUACCUAAUCAACUAUCACAAUUUUCUAAAUUUAUCGAAGAGUUAUUAUCCUCAUCGAACAUCAUAAAUAACAAUAUACUUGUCAUAGUCUAGCAGUUAUUUGGCAUUUGUAUGUCAUGGUAAAAUGAAUGACAAAAUGAACAAAUAUUAAAACACAUAUCUAAUGCAGACUAUAUGCACAACACAACACACCCCCAAACCUAAGAGAUACAUUGUCCUCAAUGUAUGAACAAUUUAAAAUUCCAAAUUCCAAAUUCCAAAAUACAAAAACAAACAUAUAUAUAUACAAUGCAAUGACAACAAUUAUGAAUGCAUGAAAAACACAUGGUAUAUAAUGAAAAAUAUGCAAAUGAAAAUAAAGAUGAAAGCUUGGGAAAAUUUUAGUGUUACUUUAAUUCGGGUGAGUUGUUUUUCGAGCAACGCACUUGUAACGCUGCUUCAUUUUUAGCAUAUUGAUUGGCACCUCUUCAUCAUCAUUAUCAUCUAAUUUCGUGAGAUCAUCAAUCAGUUGAUUAAUCUUACGAACUUUGCUUCGAUAUGGGUGCAGUUGAUUGAGGUGUAGUAGCAAGUUCAGUUGGUGUAGAAAUAUGGUUCACUUCUUCUCUUUCCUGGUUAGAUUUAAUGUUCACUAUUCUGUCUUCUCUUCAUCAGCCUCUGUUACAGUAUUUCAUAAGCGAUUAUUACAUUAUGCAUGAUCUAUCUCCUUGAUACAAAGGCUGCUUGUGCUUCGUCAAUGCAAAUGUUUAAUACUGAUUUGAAUCCAUUAACCACAACUUCAGAAAUCAUUUUAUAAACACGUUGUAUAAGCUAACCAGUCUGAAUUGUGUCAUACUAUUUAGUUGAUUGACUUUUGGAAUAAGCAUGAUACUUGUACUGUUGAUAUCAUCAAACUCCUUCCUCCUGUUUAAUAUGUCCAAGCAGAAACUCAUUAUUUCUUCCCCCACAAUAUGCCAAUACUUUUGGUAAACAAAGCGGGGUAGUUGUCCAUUCUAGAAGCCUUCAAAGGUGCUAUAUUCUUUAUAGCUGUUGUGAUUUCUUCAAUUCGAAAUUCCUUUGUUAACGCCUUAUUCAUAUUUUCGUUAAUACAAUUAAUAAUCCCUGAAAGCGUCCUCUCAUCAUUCCUUGUAUUUGAUACCCUAAAAAUCUCUUUAAAGUAAUUCAUUGUGAUCUUUAAUUUCUCUUCGUCGGUCACAAUCCACUCUCCAUUUGGUCCUUUUAGCUUUCUUCCCCUUUUCAUUUUUUUCGUUGAUUUGUUAAAUUAUGAAAAAAAGAUGUAUUUCUAUCUCCAAAUUUAAUCCAAUUUGCUCUUACUCAUUGCUCAUUGAAUAGUUAUUCUUUGUUGACUUCCAGGUUUAAAGCCAAUUUGACUUCUUCCAACUCUGUAAGCAUUUCAUCAUUUGGGUCCAUUAACCUCAAUUCAACUAGUCUUUUAGUAAAAAAGUGGGUUUCUUUUCUUUUACUAGCUGUGAGUCUUUCCAUCUCCACAUCUAGUGCUUCUCUUAGUUUUUGGAGUUGUGCAGGCACCUCCUCCGAAUUCCCUUUCCAAAAGGUUUUUAUUCAUUGUUCACAUUCUUCUUUUAAGAUCCAAUUUGUAUUGAACCAAAAGCUCCGCUCUGUACGAAUCCUAUUAUCUUCAAUCCCUAUAUCAACCAAUAAUAGGCAAUGAUCAGAAAUAGAGGGUGCGUUUGUUUGCUGUAAAAUGAUUUCCGGAAAACAUUUUACACCAUUUCCUGUGUUUGUUUGGGGGAAAAUGAAAUCCUUUAGUAAAAAAUUUUCCAAAACACGGUAAAAUCAAACCCAUUCCUCCGAAAAAUGUCUUACAGCUUCAAAAUUGGUAAGACAUUUUCCAUUCUUCUCUAAGCAGACAUUUUCCAUUCUCUUCUAAGCAGCAGGCAUUUUUCAUUCCUCAAAGCUUCCGCCUCUCCUCCUCAUCUCUGCUUCGUCAUCUCUGUCUCUCAGGUUCAUCUUCCUUCUCCAUCUCUCUACUCUAUAGAUCUGUCGGUGAGUCACCCAAAAGCUUUAAGUUUUUAUAAAAAUGGUGUAAAAUGUUUUUGCUGGAUUUUCCAGAAAUCGGAAAAAGGGAAGCUUUCCCUUUUAAUUUUCUUGCUAUUUUCACUAUAAAAAUCUCAACAUUUCUACCUUUAAAGCUUCAGUUAGUAGAUCUUGCUUAUUUUUGCUGAAUUAUAAUGAUAUCAGUAUUUCUGCAACAGGCUUCUUUUGUUUCUUCCUUUUGAUUUCUGAGUUUUUGAUCCACUGCCUUGAGAGAGUGAAUCUUUUUUUCUGAAGGGAUGCUUUGGGUUCAUUUAAAAAUGCAUGAAAAAGGCACCGAUGAAAUACCAGUAAAUUCUUGGUGACAGUUUAUAUUACUAGGAUUUGGAUUUUGUGUUUCUAGUGUUUGCCCUUUUUUGAGUGGAAUUGUUAUAGCUUUGAUUCCAAUUUUAGAGACCAGAUAAGAAGAGAAAAUGGAGAUAAAAAGAAGAAUAUUUGGUAUUUUUUCUUUCAUGAGAAGUUGUGAAUACACUUGGUUCGUAUAUAAACAGUGCAUGUUUUAUCUUUUCUCUCAAUUAUAAUAGCUUUUACCUUCAACUGCUUCCUUAUACCAUCUUACUUCGUUGUUUCCUUCUUGCCUACUAGUUUCACGACACUUUUCUUGAUUUCCACUAAAGCAAAAAGAUGGUCUAGCAACCAAUAUGUUUACAUACAGAGAAAAAGAAAAUCAAGAAUUUCUCCAUUUCAAUUACCCUCCCCUUCUACAAACUAUGAAUCACAACUGAUUAGGGACCCUGCCUCGGACAGAGUAUCCGACUCCUGGGUGGUUCUGGACCGCCUGGAGCUUCCUUCACCACCCAUGUCUUUCACCUUCUUUCGCCUACUUUUCUUUGAGUCUUUUGUGGUUGUCUCGAUUGUUUGGCUUGCAUAUAGGAUAGUAAUCGUGUACUUAAUAAGCAUGUAGCAGAUUAGUAGCGUCCCAUAUGGAGAUUUUAGCUUUACCAGUGGUGCACUAAAUAAUCUUUUUUUUUCAUGGAGACAGUAGAUUCUUUUAUGUUAAGCAUACUAGCAAAUAGUGUAUUCCAUUGCAAUUCCUCCUAGGCUCCUGCUAAUGAAUGAUAUGGAUGUUUGAGUUAUGCUAAUUGAAUUUCAAAUGCAGUUUAUCCUAAGGUGCUUAAUGUUUGAGAUAUGGAUUUUAAGCAAUAUUAUUUGUUUAGUUAUUUCAAGGAUAUCAUACUUUUUUGCAGGGCUAUUGAGCACCCAACUUUUUUAGCACUUACAAGACCGUUGUGUGAUCUGUAUUCACUUAUUCCUCCUCUUCUAGUUGCAACGCAUAAGAAACUCAGGAUAUGUAGAUGUUUUUGUAGUUUAUGAUAUUCUGAAUGCCGUGGGUCUUAUUUACUGGAAUAAAUUGUUAAUGCUUUUAGUCCUUUGCAUUAUAAUUGAUUCCAUGGUUUAGUUUUUGUAAAUGAGUUAAUGGAUUAAAAUGAAGUAUUGAGGUGAUUCUCCUUUGCAG